rnacentral:rRNA from 1 species
GGGAUGACGUCAAGUCCUCAUGGCCUUUAUGUCCAGGGCUACACACGUACUACAAUGGGCGGCACAAUGAGUCGCAAACCCGCGAGGGGGAGCCAAUCUCAAAAAACCGCUCUCAGUUCGGAUUGCAGUCUGCAACUCGACUGCAUGAAGCCGGAAUCGCUAGUAAUCGCUGAUCAGCAAGCAGCGGUGAAUACGUUCCCGGGCCUUGUACACACCGCCCGUCACAUCACGAAAGCCAGUUGUACUAGAAGCCGGCAAUUCAACCGUAAGGAGAUAGCCGUCC